UUCAAUAGCUUAUUUAACAAUCUGACUUGAAGUAUCAAGCCGCUAUAAAAUCAACUUCAGAGGUUGAUCAGUCAAAACUAUGACAGAAUGAGUUGGAAAUAAGGUCGGAGCCAUCUUGCCAAUGUAAUAAGAGUAUAGCUCAUUUUUUUAUUUUAAAAUAUUGAGUUUCAGCAUCUCUAAGUAGUUUUCUUGUCUAAUAAAUUGAUCUCUAUAUUCUUGCAUC
rnacentral:lncRNA from 1 species